rnacentral:rRNA from 1 species
AUACAGAGGGUGCAAGCGUUAAUCGGAUUUACUGGGCGUAAAGCGCGCGUAGGUGGCUAAUUAAGUCAAAUGUGAAAUCCCCGAGCUUAACUUGGGAAUUGCAUUCGAUACUGGUUAGCUAGAAUAUGGGAGAGGAUGGUAGAAUUCCAGGUGUAGCGGUGAAAUGCGUAGAGAUCUGGAGGAAUACCGAUGUCAAAGGCAGCCAUCGGGCCUAAUACUAACACUGAGUGGCGAAAGCAUGGGGAGCAAACAGGAUUAGAUACCCUGGUAGUCCAUGCCGUAAACGAUGUCUACUAGCCGUUGGGGCCCUUGAGGCUUUAGUGGCGCAGCUAACGCGAUAAGUAGACCGCCUGGGGAGUACGGUCGCAAGACUAAAACUCAAAUGAAUUGACGGGG